rnacentral:rRNA from 1 species
AUGGAGAGCGAAGGCAGCACGAGCCCCAACGGCGGCGCCCCCUGCGCGGUCUGCGGCGGCGCCGCGGCCUUGUACUGUCCGGCGGACGCGGCGGCUCUCUGCGUGCCCUGCGACGCGGCUGUCCACUCGGCCAACCCUCUGGCCUCCCGCCACGAGCGCGUGCCGCUCGCGGCCGCCGUGGCGGCGACCUCCGGCGUCUACGACCUCUUCGCGGCUGACGACGAAGGCGGCUCGUCCUGGCCGGGGCAGGGGAGCCCCAGCAGCGGCUCGUCCGGCUUCAGUAACGGCGGCGGCGUCGAGAUGAGCCUGUUUGACCUGCUCUCCGACGUCGACCUCGUGGCCACCGGCGCCGGUGGAAGCAUGCUAUCGGACGGCCCGUUGUGGCUGCAGCCAGGCCUCGCCGCGGACGCCUCUGCUGCAUGGACCUCCUCGUGGUCGCCGGCAGAGGCAGUCGUCGUCCCGUCGGCGGCGGACAGGGCGGAGAGGGUCAGGCGGUACCGCGAAAAGCGCAAGAACCGCAAGUUCCAGAAGACCAUCCGCUACGCCUCCCGCAAGGCGUACGCCGAGGCGCGGCCCAGGAUCAAGGGCCGCUUCGUCAAACGCCCCGCGGCGGUGUCGGUCGACGACGACAACACGAGCGCCGCCGAGGCGGCGGCCAAAUUCUGGCUCUCCUUCUCCGACAACAGUGUAGGGUUCCAAGUUGCAUCCCAUGGAGUCGUGCCAAGCUUCUAG